rnacentral:pre_miRNA from 1 species
AAUAAGUGCAGUUUUGCACUAUUCACGUUCAACGUUUGACCGUCCGUCUUAUUUGAAAAAUUUGUGAAAAAAUUAUUUUUAUUGCUAUUAGAUGAUAAAACAUGAAUAGUACUUUAUGUGUGACUAAAUGUUUUUAAUUUUUUCACAAAUUUUUCAAAUAAGACGGACGGUCAAACGUUGAACGUGAAUAGUGCAAAACUGCACUUAUU